rnacentral:rRNA from 1 species
GGUUAAGUUAGAAAGGGCGCACGGUGGAUGCCUUGGCACUAGGAGCCGAAGAAGGACGGGACUAACACCGAUAUGCUUUGGGGAGCUGUACGUAAGCGUUGAUCCAGAGAUUUCCGAAUGGGGGAACCCACUAUCUUUAGUCGGAUAGUAUCCUUACGUGAAUACAUAGCGUGAGGAAGGCAGACCCAGGGAACUGAAACAUCUAAGUACCUGGAGGAAGAGAAAGAAAAAUCGAUUUCCUGAGUAGCGGCGAGCGAAACGGAAAGAGCCCAAACCAAGAAGCUUGCUUCUUGGGGUUGUAGGACACUCUAUACGGAGUUACAAAAGAAAGUUAUAAAUGAAGCGGUCUGGAAAGGCCCGCCAAAGACGGUAACAGCCCGGUAGUUGAAAUGGCUUUCCCUCCAGAGUGGAUCCUGAGUACGGCGGAACACGUGAAAUUCCGUCGGAAUCCGGGAGGACCAUCUCCCAAGGCUAAAUACUCCCUAGUGACCGAUAGUGAACCAGUACCGUGAGGGAAAGGUGAAAAGCACCCCGGAAGGGGAGUGAAACAGUUCCUGAAACCGUGUGCCUACAAGUAGUUAGAGCCCGUUAAUGGGUGAUAGCGUGCCUUUUGUAGAAUGAACCGGCGAGUUACGAUUUGUUGCAAGGUUAAGCGGAAAAAGCGGAGCCGUAGCGAAAGCGAGUCUGAAUAGGGCGCAUAAGUAACAGGUCGUAGACCCGAAACCAGGUGAUCUACCCAUGUCCAGGAUGAAGGUAAGGUAAUACUUACUGGAGGUCCGAACCCACGCACGUUGAAAAGUGCGGGGAUGAGGUGUGGGUAGCGGAGAAAUUCCAAUCGAACUUGGAGAUAGCUGGUUCUCUCCGAAAUAGCUUUAGGGCUAGCCUCGAGGUAAAGAGUCAUGGAGGUAGAGCACUGUUUGGACUAGGGGCCCUUCUCGGGUUACCGAAUUCAGAUAAACUCCGAAUGCCAUGUACUUAUACUCGGGAGUCAGACUGCGAGUGAUAAGAUCCGUAGUCGAAAGGGAAACAGCCCAGACCACCAGUUAAGGUCCCCAAAUAUAUGUUAAGUGGAAAAGGAUGUGGGGUUGCUUAGACAACCAGGAUGUUGGCUUAGAAGCAGCCACCAUUGAAAGAGUGCGUAA